UUUGUGUGUCAGGAUGGCCGAGUGGUCUAAGGCGCCAGACUUAAGGUUCGGCUCUGUAUGCAGUAAAGAGACUUCUGGUCUCCAAUUGGAGUCGUGGGUUCGAACCCCACUUCUGACAUGUCUUUACCGUUUUAUAAUCCACUUUGGACACUAAAUUAUUUUGACUCGCUAACUUUUUCAAGGUGGCAGAAAACGUUUGUCUUUCCUUUGUUUGUGUGUCAGGAUGGCCGAGUGGUCUAAGGCGCCAGACUCAAGGUUUGACUCCUUCUUCAGGAAAGAGGCUUCUGGUCUCCAAUUGGAGUCGUGGGUUCGAACCCCACUUCUGACAUGUCUUUACCGUUUUAUAAUCCACUUUGGACACUAAAUUAUUUUGACUCGCUAACUUUUUCAAGGUGGCAGAAAACGUUUGUCUUUCCUUUGUUUGUGUGUCAGGAUUGCCGAGUGGUCUAAGGCGCCAGACUCAAGGUUUGACUCCUUCUUCAGGAAAGAGGCUUCUGGUCUCCAAUUGGAGGCGUGGGUUCGAACCCCAGUUCUGACAUGUCUUUACCGUUUUAUAGUCCACUUUGGACACUAAUUUAUUUUGACUCGCUAACUUUUUCAAGGUGGCAGAAAAUGUUUGUCUUUCCUUUGUUUUUGUGUCAGGAUGGCCGAGUGGUCUAAGGCGCCAGACUUAAGGAUCGGCUCUGUAUGCAGUCAAGAGACUUCUGGUCUCCAAUUGGAGUCGUGGGUUCGAACCCCACUUCUGACAUGUCUUUACAGUUUUAUAGUCCACUUUGGACACUAAAUUAGUUUGACUCGCUAACUUUUUCAAGGUGGCAGAAAACGUUUGUCUUUGCUUUAUUUGUGUGUCAGGAUGGCCGAGUGGUCUAAGGCGCCAGACUUAAGGAUCGGCUCUGUAUGCAGUAAAGAGACUUCUGGUCUCCAAUUGGAGUCGUGGGUUCGAACCCCACUUCUGACAUGUCUUUACCGUUUUAUAGUCCACUUUGGACACUAAAUUAUUUUGACUCGCUAACUUUUUCAAGGUGGCAGAAAACGUUUGUCUUUGCUUUAUUUGUGUUUCAGGAUGGCCGAGUGGUCUAAGGCGCCAGACUUAAGGUUCGGCUCUGUAUGCAGUAAAGAGACUUCUGGUCUCCAAUUGGAGUCGUGGGUUCGAACCCCACUUCUGACAUGUCUUUACCGUUUUAUAAUCCCCUUUGGACACUAAAUUAUUUUGACUCGCUAACUUUUUCAAGGUGGCCGAAAACGUUUGUCUUUCCUUUAUUUGUGUGUCAGGAUGGGCCGAUGGUCUAAGGCGCCAGACUUAAGGAUCGGCUCUGUAUGCAGUAAAGAGAAU
ensembl:lncRNA